rnacentral:rRNA from 1 species
AUCUCCAAUCGCGUAUAUUAAAGUUGUUGCGGUUAAAACGCUCGUCGUUGUACUUCUGUUGAGAAUAACCCGUCUGCCUUCUGGGUAUGUAUGUGGUCUAUUCUUGGCAUACUCUUGGUAUCUUGUCUGCACUUGACUGUGUGGGUAAUACUCCAGGACUUUUACUUUGAGGAAAUUAGAGUGUUUCACGCAGGCUACGCUUGAAUACAUUAGCAUGGAAUAAUGAUAAAGAACCUAUGUGCAACUUGUUGGGUUGUGCGUGUGGGUGUUGUUCAAUAGGAACAGUUGGGGGCAUUUGUAUUUAACUGUCAGAGGGGAAAUGCUUAGAUUUGUUAAAGACAAACUUAUGCGAAAGCAUUUGCAAAGGAGGUGU